rnacentral:rRNA from 1 species
GGAGCAUGUGGUUUAAUUCGAUGAUACGCGAGGAACCUUACCAGGGCUUAAAUGUAGAGUGACAGGGGUAGAGAUACCUUUUUCUUCGGACACUUUACAAGGUGCUGCAUGGUUGUCGUCAGCUCGUGCCGUGAGGUGUCAGGUUAAGUCCUAUAACGAGCGCAACCCCUGUUGUUAGUUACCAGCACGUAGUGGUGGGGACUCUAACAAGACUGCCGGUGCAAACCGUGAGGAAGGUGGGGAUGACGUCAAAUCAUCACGGCCCUUACGUCCUGGGCUACACACGUGCUACAAUG